rnacentral:rRNA from 1 species
CAGCAGCCGCGGUAAUACGAAGGGGGCUAGCGUUGCUCGGAAUGACUGGGCGUAAAGGGCGCGUAGGCGGUUUGUACAGUUGGAUGUGAAAUUCCUGGGCUUAACCUGGGGGCUGCAUUCAAUACGUGCAGGCUUGAGUGGGGAAGAGGGUCGUGGAAUUCCCAGUGUAGAGGUGAAAUUCGUAGAUAUUGGGAAGAACACCGGUGGCGAAGGCGGCGACCUGGUCCUUGACUGACGCUGAGGCGCGAAAGCGCGGGGAGCAAACAGGAUUAGAUACCCCUGUAGUCCCUGUCUCUUAUAC